CUUGUAUUUUAUAAUAUCAGUUAUAAUAUUUUGACCGAUGUUGAAACAAAAUUAAUUGACUCAUGAACGUUUUAGUAAUGACAGCCGCAGCGAAUACAACUUACAACGAUCGAAAUUACGAUUUUGAUAUUUUUAACGGUCGAAAAUUAUGGUGACAAGUUCAAGUAUGAACGUACGUUGCAGUGGUUAUAAUAUAAUAGUGUAGUAGUCGUUUUACGUCAAACACCAAACUGGCAUAAAUACA